rnacentral:rRNA from 1 species
GACGAACGCUGGCGGCGUGCCUAAUACAUGCAAGUCGAACGAGACUUUUUAUUUGAUGCUUGCAUCUUUUAAAAAGUUGAGUGGCGAACGGGUGAGUAACACGUGGGUAACCUGCCUUAAAGUGGGGGAUAACACUUGGAAACAGGUGCUAAUACCGCAUAACCAUCAAAACCACCUGGUUUUGAUGUUAAAGAUGGUUCUGCUAUCGCUUUAAGAUGGACCCGCGGCGUAUUAGCUAGUUGGUGAGGUAACGGCUUACCAAGGCAAUGAUACGUAGCCGAACUGAGAGGUUGAUCGGCCACAUUGGGACUGAGACACGGCCCAAACUCCUACGGGAGGCAGCAGUAGGGAAUCUUCCACAAUGGACGAAAGUCUGAUGGAGCAACGCCGCGUGAGUGAAGAAGGUUUUCGGAUCGUAAAACUCCGUUGUCAGAGAAGGACGUGUGUGAGAGUAACUGUUCACGCAGUGACGGUAUCUGACCAGAAAGUCACGGCUAACUACGUGCCAGCAGCCGCGGUAAUACGUAGGUGGCAAGCGUUGUCCGGAUUUAUUGGGCGUAAAGGGAACGCAGGCGGUCUUUUAAGUCUGAUGUGAAAGCCUUCGGCUUAACCGAAGUCGGGCAUUGGAAACUGGGAGACUUGAGUGCAGAAGAGGAGAGUGGAACUCCAUGUGUAGCGGUG